AAUCAAUAAGCGGAGGAAAAGAAACUAACAAGGAUUCCCCUAGUAACUGCGAGUGAAGCGGGAAAAGCUCAAAUUUAAAAUCUGGCAGUCUUUGGCUGUCCGAGUUGUAAUCUAGAGAAGUGCUAUCCGUGCUGGACCGUGUACAAGUCUCCUGGAAUGGAGCGUCACAGAGGGUGAGAAUCCCGUCUUUGACACGGACUCCCAGUACAUUGUGAUGUGCUCUCAAAGAGUCGAGUUGUUUGGGAAUGCAGCUCUAAAUGGGUGGUAAAUUCCAUCUAAAGCUAAAUAUUGGCGAGAGACCGAUAGCGAACAAGUACCGUGAGGGAAAGAUGAAAAGAACUUUGGAAAGAGAGUUAAACAGUACGUGAAAUUGUUGAAAGGGAAACGCUUGAAGUCAGUCAUGUUGGCCAGGGAUCAACCCUGCUUUUUUGCUGGGUGUACUUCCUGGUUGAUAGGUCAGCAUCAAUUUUGACCACUGGAAAAAGGCUGAGGGAAUGUGGCAUCUUCGGAUGUGUUAUAGCCCUUGGUUGUAUACAGUGGUUGGGAUUGAGGAACUCAGCAUGCCGCAAGGCCAGGUCUUUGACCAUGUUCAUGCUUAGGAUGCUGGCAUAAUGGCUUUAAUCGACCCGUCUUGAAACACGGACCAAGGAGUCUAACAUGCCUGCA
rnacentral:rRNA from 1 species